rnacentral:rRNA from 1 species
AUUGAACGCUGGCGGCAGGCCUAACACAUGCAAGCCGAACGAGUGGCGGACGGGUGAGUAAUGUCUGGGAAACUGCCUGAUGGAGGGGGAUAACUACUGGAAACGGUAGCUAAUACCGCAUACCAUCGGAUGUGCCCAGAUGGGAUUAGCUAGUAGGUGGGGUAAAGGCUCACCUAGGCGACGAUCCCGAGCUGGUCUGAGAGGAUGACCAGCAACACUGGAACUGAGACACGGUGCAGACACCAGCGGGAGGGAGCAGGAGCGAGUAUUACACAAAAGGAGAAGGCCAGAUGAGGCGAUGACACGUGUAUGAAGAAGGACGUCGGUUUGAAGAGUACUGUCAGCGGAGAAGCAUUACCAGCAUAGGAAGCACCGGCAAACUCCAUACCAGCAGCCGCGGUAAUAC